UAUAAAGGAAUGAAUAAAGUUGUAUAUUGCAUUACUUUUAAGGGUUUACAAGAGGUGUAUAUAUACACAAGUAUAGUAACCUAAUUGGAGUAAAUUAAGGAACAAAUAUCUCCAACAAUUAAGGUGAUUGACUCUAUAGAUUUUAUACAAAUCCUGAAAUAAUAAUGAUAAUAAUUAAAUACUAUACUUGUGUAUAUAUACACCUCUUGUAAACCCUUAAAAGUAAUGCAAUAUACAACUUUAUUGGAGUAAAUUAAGGAACAAAUAUCUCCAACAAUUAAGGUGAUUGACUCUAUAGAUUUUAUACAAAUCCUGAAAUAAUAAUGAUAAUAAUUAAAUACUAAUUAUGAUUGAUAUCCUCCCGCAAGUUGGGCGACCUGGAAGAAAG
rnacentral:lncRNA from 1 species